rnacentral:rRNA from 1 species
GAUGAACGCUGACAGAAUGCUUAACACAUGCAAGUCAACUUGAAUUUGGGUUUUUAACUUAGGUUUGGGUGGCGGACGGGUGAGUAACGCGUAAAGAACUUGCCUCACAGCUAGGGACAACAUUUGGAAACGAAUGCUAAUACCUAAUAUUAUGAUAAUAGGGCAUCCUAUAAUUAUGAAAGCUAUAAGCGCUGUGAGAGAGCUUUGCGUCCCAUUAGCUAGUUGGAGAGGUAACGGCUCACCAAGGCGAUGAUGGGUAGCCGGCCUGAGAGGGUGAUCGGCCACAAGGGGACUGAGACACGGCCCGUACUCCGACGGGAGGCAGCAGUGGGGAAUAUUGGACAAUGGACCGAGAGUCUGAUCCAGCAAUUCUGUGUGAACGAUGAAGUUUUUCGGAAUGUAAAGUGCUUUCAGUUGGGAAGAAACAAAUGACGGUACCAACAGAAGAAGUGACGGCUAAAUACGUG